CACACGGCGGGUGCUAACGUCCGUCGUGAAGAGGGAAACAACCCAGACCGCCAGCUAAGGUCCCAAAGUCAUGGUUAAGUGGGAAACGAUGUGGGAAGGCCCAGACAGCCAGGAUGUUGGCUUAGAAGCAGCCAUCAUUUAAAGAAAGCGUAAUAGCUCACUGGUCGAGUCGGCCUGCGCGGAAGAUGUAACGGGGCUAAACCAUGCACCGAAGCUGCGGCAGCGACGCUGAUGCGUUGUUGGGUAGGGGAGCGUUCUGUAAGCCUGCGAAGGUGUGUCGUGAGGCAUGCUGGAGGUAUCAGAAGUGCGAAUGCUGACAUAAGUAACGAUAAAGCGGGUGAAAAGCCCGCUCGCCGGAAGACCAAGGGUUCCUGUCCAACGUUAAUCGGGGCAGGGUGAGUCGACCCCUAAGGCGAGGCCGAAAGGCGUAGUCGAUGGGAAACGGGUUAAUAUUCCCGUACUUGGUGUUACUGCGAAGGGGGGACGGAGAAGGCUAUGUUGGCCGGG
rnacentral:rRNA from 1 species